rnacentral:rRNA from 1 species
GAUGAACGCUGGCGGCGUGCCUAAUACAUGCAAGUCGAGCGAACAGACGAGGAGCUUGCUCCUCUGACGUUAGCGGCGGACGGGUGAGUAACACGUGGAUAACCUACCUAUAAGACUGGGAUAACUUCGGGAAACCGGAGCUAAUACCGGAUAAUAUAUUGAACCGCAUGGUUCAAUAGUGAAAGACGGUUUUGCUGUCACUUAUAGAUGGAUCCGCGCCGCAUUAGCUAGUUGGUAAGGUAACGGCUUACCAAGGCAACGAUGCGUAGCCGACCUGAGAGGGUGAUCGGCGACCUUGGAACUGAGACACGGUCAAGACUCCUAAGGGAGGCAGCAGAAGGGAAUCUUCCGCAAUGGGCGAAAGCCUGACGGAGCAACGCCGCGUGAGUGAUGAAGGUCUUCGGAGCGUAAAAAUCUGUUAUUAGGGAAGAACAAAUGUGUAAGUAACUAUGCACGUCUUGACGGUACCUAAUCAGAAAGCCACGGCUAACUACGUG